rnacentral:rRNA from 1 species
UACGUAGGGGGCGAGCGUUGUCCGGAUUUAUUGGGCGUAAAGAGCGUGUAGGCGGCCAGGUAGGUCUGCUGUGAAAACUCGAGGCUCAACCUCGAGACGUCGGCGGAAACCAUCUGGCUAGAGUCCGGAAGAGGAGAGUGGAAUUCCUGGUGUAGCGGUGAAAUGCGCAGAUAUCAGGAAGAACACCCGUGGCGAAGGCGGCUCUCUGGGACGGUACUGACGCUGAGACGCGAAAGCUCGGGGAGCGAACGGG